GCAAGCCAUUUUAUCUUUCUGAACUUUGAUACUUUUAUCUAUAAAAUGAAGAUUGGAAUUCUUGCCUCACUGAGUUUUCCUGGUACAUAGUUGGCGCUCAAUAAAUGGCAGCUAUUCUUUUUACAUUUUCCAGGCCUUGAGCUUUCUUUUUUCUUCUCGCUGUGGAAAUUGCCUGAUAAGCUACAAACUGUUGGUUCUUGAAUGGGCUGGCUGCCCCAGAUGUCCGAAUCCCUUGGAAGGAACCUGGAGGAGUUGGCUGAUGGGCUCCAGCUUCACAUAGAGGCAGAUGCCACACAAGCCACCCACCCAGAUGCAGAGCCAGAUUCCCUGCAUGGACUGGACGGGAGUUUCCCAGCUGGAGUUCUCUGGGCCCAGUUGCCUGUGACAUGGGGUUGGGGGUGCUCCAGAAAGUCAUGGCCACCCCUGGAGGAAGUGACUUGUGGCUGACUGCUCAAGGGGAAGUCCUGUGGCGGUGGAGUCGUCAGCAUUCAUUCAAAUAAGGAGUCCUUAAUUCCCCUCAGCACUGUUUGAGGUGAGCAACUACAACUACACAAGACAAAGACGAAAGACUUUUUCAGCUCAAAAAUCCUGUGAUUCUUUGAUUCUAAGAAGAGAUUUUCUGACAAGGAGUUUGCCUAAGGUAAGAGAAUCCUGACUGCCCAGGAUAUUACAGUCACUAGGUGGUUUCCUGGGCAGGCCGGGCCCCCGCUGGGACCCCACACGUUAGCUCUUUUUGGGAGGGAGGCCAGUUCUUAAACUUCCUCAACACCUUCCUUCCCGCAGUGUCCACACGGCUUGUGUCUCCUCCCAGUUGCCGGCCUGCCGGCAUGUGGGCUGCCUGUGGAGAGGGGCCGUAGGCCUGUGUUGUGAAUGACGUCUGCAGGGCAUGGGGUUGACUUUGAAGAAGGUGUGAUCCUAAGUUGUGUUUGACCUGAGCUCCUGUCACCCCUGAAGGCAGCAGAGGAUGUCCUGUCGGUGACCCAGGAGGACGGCUUCCUGAGCCCAUUGCACAGAAGGGCUUUCGUGAUUGGUUUGCCCUGCUGUGAGUUUUUCCCCUACCUUUGAAGGCCUAGAUUGGGUUUCCCAUUUCGUAGCCCUUUGGAAGGGCCAGUGGCUCCCCAUUUGACAGGCUGCCCUGAGCAGCAGGUCUUCCGUUUAGACCCAGGCUGCCCCAAUCCCAGCUCUGAUCUGACUCUUAGCUCUGAGGCUCCAUUGAGUCCCUGGGCCUCAGGGACCCUGUUCAGGCUUUGCUGAUGGUGGCAUCAAAUGAUCUCUAAGCCACCUCCACGCUGGCUCUGACUAAGGCAACUGGUGAUCUUGUCUUGCUGUUUGCAGUAUUUGAAGACAAAAACCAGAACUUGUGCUGCAUUCUCAAGAAAGACGAGACAACCGUUCCUGUACCUUACUCUUACUCUUAGAUAUCUGUAUGAAGAAGUCCUGAUGGGUGCAUGCAAGCUAGGGAGCAUCAAGGCUCCCAUAGCAUGAGCGCCAGCUGACCCCUGACCUUGUUGUCAUCUGUUGCUCUGUUCGUGGCUCUGAAAUUCGGGCAACCUGAGCCAGCUCAUGUGUUCCUUACCCUUGUGCUUUUGCACUGCCCAUCCCCGUCCCCUAGAACUCCCUCCAGUACAGUCUGCCCCACCUCAUCCCAUCCCAUGCCAUCCCAUCCCACCUCACUCCAUCCUACCCCAUCCUACUGCAUCCCACCCCAUCCCAUUCCAUCCCAGCCCACACCACCCU
rnacentral:lncRNA from 10 species